rnacentral:rRNA from 1 species
CGCGGUAAUACGUAGGGGACAAGCGUUGUCCGGAUUUACUGGGCGUAAAGGGCACGCAGGCGGUUUUUUAAGUCAGAUGUGAAAGGUACCGGCUCAACCGGUGACAUGCAUUUGAAACUGAAAGACUUGAGUAUGGGAGAGGCAAGUGGAAUUCCUAGUGUAGCGGUGAAAUGCGUAGAUAUUAGGAGGAACACCGGUGGCGAAGGCGGCUUGCUGGACAAAUACUGACGCUGAGGUGCGAAAGCGUGGGGAGUAAACAGGAUUAGAUACCCUGGUAGUCCACGCCGUAAACGAUGAGUGCUAGGUGUUGGGGAGACUCAGUGCCGCAGCUAACGCAAUAAGCACUCCGCCUGGGGAGUACGACCGCAAGGUUGAAACUCAAAGGAAUUGACGGGGACCCGCACAAGCAGCGGAGCAUGUGGUUUAAUUCGAAGCAACGCGAAGAACCUUACCAGGUCUUGACAUCCUCUGACAAUCUGAGAGAUCAGACUUUCCCUUCGGGGACAGAGAGACAGGUGGUGCAUGGUUGUCGUCAGCUCGUGUCGUGAGAUGCUGGGUUAAGUCCCGCAACGAGCGCAACCCCUGUGGUUAGUUGCCAUCAUUUAGUUGGGCACUCUAAGCAGACUGCCGUGGAUAACACGGAGGAAGGUGGGGACGACGUCAAAUCAUCAUGCCCCUUAUGACCUGGGCUACACACGUGCUACAAUGGUCUGAACAGAGGGCUGCGAAACCGCGAGGUGAAGCUAAUCCCUUAAAACAGAUCUCAGUUCGGAUUGCAGGCUGCAACUCGCCUGCAUGAAGUUGGAGUUGCUAGUAAUCGCAGAUCAGAAUGCUGCGGUGAAUGCGUUCCCGGGUCUUGUACACACCGCCCGUCACACCACGAGAGUUGGCAACACCCGAAGU